UACGUAGGUGGCGAGCGUUGUCCGGAUUUACUGGGCGUAAAGGGCGUGCAGGCGGUUUGUUAAGUGCAGGGUGAAAGCUCCCGGCUCAACUGGGAGAGGUCCUUGCAUACUGGCGAACUCGAGGGAGGCAGAGGAAAGUGGAAUUCCCGGUGUAGCAGUGAAAUGCGUAGAUAUCGAGAGGAACACCAGUGGCGAAGGCGAGUCUCUAGACAACUCCUGACACUGAGGCACGAAAGCUAGGGGGAGCAAACAGG
rnacentral:rRNA from 1 species